rnacentral:rRNA from 1 species
GACGUAGGGGGCCAGCGUUGUUCGGAAUUACUGGGCGUAAAGGGUUCGUAGGCGGUGUGGCAAGUCGGGAGUGAAAUCUCUGGGCUCAACUCAGAGACUGCUUCCGAAACUGCUGUGCUGGAGUGUGGGAGAGGCGCGUGGAAUUGCAGGUGUAGCGGUGAAAUGCGUAGAUAUCUGCAGGAACACCCGUGGCGAAAGCGGCGCGCUGGACCACUACUGACGCUGAGGAACGAAAGCUAGGGGAGCAAACAGG